rnacentral:rRNA from 1 species
GACGAACGCUGGCGGCGUGCCUAAUACAUGCAAGUAGAACGCUGAAGAGAGGAGCUUGCUCUUCUUGGAUGAGUUGCGAACGGGUGAGUAACGCGUAGGUAACCUGCCUGGUAGCGGGGGAUAACUAUUGGAAACGAUAGCUAAUACCGCAUAAAAUUGAUUAUUGCAUGAUAAUUAAUUGAAAGAUGCAACUGCAUCACUACCAGAUGGACCUGCGUUGUAUUAGCUAGUUGGUGAGGUAACGGCUCACCAAGGCGACGAUACAUAGCCGACCUGAGAGGGGGAUCGGCCACACUGGGACUGAGACACGGCCCAGACUCCUACGGGAGGCAGCAGUAGGGAAUCUUCGGCAAUGGGGGGAACCCUGACCGAGCAACGCCGCGUGAGUGAAGAAGGUUUUCGGAUCGUAAAGCUCUGUUGUAAGAGAAGAACGGGUGUGAGAGUGGAAAGUUCACACUGUGACGGUAGCUUACCAGAAAGGGACGGCUAACUACGUG